rnacentral:misc_RNA from 1 species
UGUAAUGCUAAUCCCCCUUCGACAUAUUUGUGGCAGAUGAAACACGUGAUUGUUUGAUGCACAGUUUUUGCAUUAUCAUGGUCGGAAUUGGAAAAUUAUGGAGUGUUUAUAUCAUUCGACAUCCAUGGUAUUAGCUAUUAUCAUAUGUACCAAACUUCACUGCUAUAUAUAUUUGGGAUUUCUUUCUAUCUGUAUGGGAAAAAGUAGUGAAAUAAAAUAAGAGAUGCAUUGAUAGAACUAUGAGAAAUGAACUCUUAUCUAAGAAGAACACUCUAGCAACCAAUUUACAAUUGGAAACUAGAGGCUAAAGAAACAAAAUUGUAAAAUUAAUUGCAAGAGGCUUCUUAACAUAGGAGUUUCGGCCAUUCACCUACCCCCCACACCCGCGUCACCG